CUCCCGCGCCGUAUCCGCCAACGAGGAGUCCGGGACCGCCGGAUCCGGUGACUCGGGCCUGCUCGCCGGCAGAUCCGGCCGCUCUGA
rnacentral:pre_miRNA from 1 species